rnacentral:tRNA from 2 species
GGGCGAAUAGCUCAGCGGUAGAGCACCGCCCUUACAAGGCGGGGGUCACAGGUUCGAGCCCUGUUUCGCCCACCA